GAGUUUGAUCCUGGCUCAGGAUGAACGCUGGCGGCGUGCUUAACACAUGCAAGUCGAACGGGAAUGCCACGCUGAUGCGAUUUCGGUCAAAUCAUGUGGCAUUCGAGUGGCGGACGGGUGAGUAACGCGUGGGUAACCUGCCUUACACAGGGGGAUAACACCUGGAAACAGGUGCUAAUACCGCAUAAGCGCACAGGGCCGCAUGGCCCGGUGUGAAAAACUCCGGUGGUGUAAGAUGGACCCGCGUCUGAUUAGCUUGUUGGCGGGGUAGGGGCCCACCAAGGCGACGAUCAGUAGCCGGCCUGAGAGGGUGGACGGCCACAUUGGGACUGAGACACGGCCCAAACUCCUACGGGAGGCAGCAGUGGGGGAUAUUGGACAAUGGGGGAAACCCUGAUCCAGCGACGCCGCGUGAGUGAAGAAGUAUUUCGGUAUGUAAACUUCUAUCAGCAGGGAAGAAAAUGACGGUACCUGACUA
rnacentral:rRNA from 1 species